GAUGAACGCUGGCGGCGUGCCUAAUACAUGCAAGUCGAGCGAACAGACGAGGAGCUUGCUCCUCUGACGUUAGCGGCGGACGGGUGAGUAACACGUGGAUAACCUACCUAUAAGACUGGGAUAACUUCGGGAAACCGGAGCUAAUACCGGAUAAUAUAUUGAACCGCAUGGUUCAAUAGUGAAAGACGGUUUUGCUGUCACUUAUAGAUGGAUCCGCGCCGCAUUAGCUAGUUGGUAAGGUAACGGCUUACCAAGGCGACGAUGCGUAGCCGACCUGAGAGGGUGAUCAGCCACACUGGAACUGAGACACGGUCCAGACUCCUACGGGAGGCAGCAGUAGGGAAUCUUCCGCAAUGGGCGAAAGCCUGACGGAGCAACGCCGCGUGAGUGAUGAAGGUCUUCGGAUCGUAAAACUCUGUUAUUAGGGAAGAACAAAUGUGUAAGUAACUAUGCACGUCUUGACGGUACCUAAUCAGAAAGCCACGGCUAACUACGUG
rnacentral:rRNA from 1 species